UUUAGCCUACGGGAGGCAGCAGUAAGGUAUAUUGGUCAAUGGGGGAAACCCUGAUGCAGCAACGCCGCGUGAAGGAAGACGGUUUUCGGAUUGUAAACUUCUUUUCUUAGUGAAGAAGCAAGUGACGGUAGCUAAGGAAUAAGCAUCGGCUAACUACGUGCCAGCAGCCGCGGUAAUACGUAGGAUGCGAGCGUUAUCCGGAAUUACUGGGUGUAAAGGGAGCGCAGGCGGGACUGCAAGUUGGAUGUGAAAUACCGCAGCUUAACUGCGGAGCUGCAUCCAAAACUGUAGUUCUUGAGUGGAGG
rnacentral:rRNA from 1 species